rnacentral:lncRNA from 1 species
CGAGGGAUAGGCCGACACUUAAACUCCCACACCAAGUCAAAAGAUAUCUUUUGAUCAACUGGAUGAUCGACAAACAAGUAUGGCGUCUGCCUCGAGUAGGGGUUUCUGCACACGUUGCCAUCAGGACUGAAUUUACUGAGGCAGAAAGAGUCUCAAGUCUCUCUCGUUCCAGGCUGAGAAUCAGUGCCACAUUGAUUUUCCUAUCAAUGGACAUUAUCAUAGAUCAGGCAUCUGCUAGCACUGGCCUCAAUCCAUGUGCCGCCUGUUGCCACGGGGACAGAGAGAUUUCAUCACUCCUCGCUCUCUAACAGACAGACAGACAG